rnacentral:miRNA from 1 species
CAGAAUGUCCAGCUAAAUUUGAUGCAGAUAAACCACAGAUGUAUGUUUCGAUGUAAGUAUGUCCCAUGCAAUAUUUGGGAUAUACUUAUACUAAAAUCUUUUUCCUUGUUUCUCUGAAAUUCUAAUUUGGCUGAGCAUCCUGUA